GUCACCCGGCAGUGGAACCCAGACAGAUCUUUGCUGGUUGCCGUCCCACUCAUGACUCCUCCAGGAACCCAAGGACAUGGUGAAUGUCAGCCUCCCUUGGCUGGCAUUCCCCUCUGGGAACCCAAAACUCCGGAACCCACCUUGCCCCCACAGGUAUUCUACCAGACCAGCAACCCGGUAACUGGGGGACGGGUCACC